AACGAACGCUGGCGGCAUGCCUAACACAUGCAAGUCGAACGAAGGCUUCGGCCUUAGUGGCGCACGGGUGCGUAACGCGUGGGAAUCUGCCCUUAGGUUCGGAAUAACAGCUGGAAACGGCUGCUAAUACCGGAUGAUAUCGCGAGAUCAAAGAUUUAUCGCCUGAGGAUGAGCCCGCGUUGGAUUAGGUAGUUGGUGGGGUAAAGGCCUACCAAGCCGACGAUCCAUAGCUGGUCUGAGAGGAUGAUCAGCCACACUGGGACUGAGACACGGCCCAGACUCCUACGGGAGGCAGCAGUGGGGAAUAUUGGACAAUGGGCGAAAGCCUGAUCCAGCAAUGCCGCGUGAGUGAUGAAGGCCCUAGGGUUGUAAAGCUCUUUUACCCGGGAAGAUAAUGACUGUACCGGGAGAAUAAGCCCCGGCUAACUCCGUGCCAGCAGCCGCAGUAA
rnacentral:rRNA from 1 species